rnacentral:rRNA from 1 species
AUUGAACGCUGGCGGCAGGCCUAACACAUGCAAGUCGAACGGUAACAGGGAUCAGCUUGCUGAUUCGCUGACGAGUGGCGGACGGGUGAGUAAUGUCUGGGAAACUGCCUGAUGGAGGGGGAUAACUACUGGAAACGGUAGCUAAUACCGCAUAACGUCGCAAGACCAAAGAGGGGGACCUUCGGGCCUCUUGCCAUCGGAUGUGCCCAGAUGGGAUUAGCUAGUAGGUGGGGUAACGGCUCACCUAGGCGACGAUCCCUAGCUGGUCUGAGAGGAUGACCAGCCACACUGGAACUGAGACACGGUCCAGACUCCUACGGGAGGCAGCAGUGGGGAAUAUUGCGCAAUGGGCGCAAGCCUGAUGCAGCCAUGCCGCGUGUAUGAAGAAGGCCUUCGGGUUGUAAAGUACUUUCAGCGGGGAGGAAGGGAGUAAAGUUAAUACCUGUGCUCAUUGACGUUACCCGCAGAAGAAGCACCGGCUAACUCCGUG